CUCCCCGGUUGAUACCACAGGGCCGAUCGCGCCGAUGCCGAGCGUUUGACGAAUGCCAAAAAGUGCCCCGGGCGGCCGGCAGAUGAUGUCAUCAGCUUGCCAGGCAGGCGCCAUACCUUGCCUGACGGAUUUUGAACUGGGUGCGGCAGACAUCUGACAAUGAAAAAAAAGACAAAUCAUCCAAAUUAAAAAAAAACUGCAUAACAGACUGCGAAUGCUUUCUCUUCUGUCUGAAAGGUGAAGCCAUUGGUCUGAUUUCAUCCCCGAGAAAUCCCAUCGAUAAUCAGCAGAUGUGUGUGAAGUGUGAUCCUGCAGCAGCAAGGAAUCCGCCAGCGCUUGUUUACCCGCGCUGGGGUGUCGUGGCUUUGAUGGCGGCGAGGACUUCGCGACUGGAGGCCGUCCUCGUCUGAUCUUCGGAGGCGGCGCCAGAUCAGAGGGCCGCCGCGCAAGGAGAAGAAAAGGGCCGUCGGAAGGCUCAUCCGUGCGUACGCCAGGCUGAAGGCGGGAACGUUCAAAGGAAAUCAGGCAUGUGCUUCCGCUCGCUUCCUUUUCGUUUGUUUAAGCGCAAAGGGGCGAAGAUGCAGCUGCAGUCGCAUCGUUCGCUCACAAAGAGGUAGCCUGCAAAAUUGAUUUCUUUCCAAAUUGAGUUCUUGAGCUAUUGGUUGGCGAGCUCAUGAGUCAGUCAGAUAGUUAGCUCGCUGGUUAUCGAGCCGCCUGACCGGUUAACCAGUCGGACAUCAGUUAGCCAAUCAGCGAGCUAGAUCGUAGGUAGUCCGCUAGUUGGCUCAUUAGCUAGUUAGCCACAUUUGCGGUCACGUUUUUUUUCAACAUUGCGGUUAGUGUCGUGUUUUGCUUCUGCUGCUAAACUCACAAAGCAAAUCCAUUCAAGAAAGCCAAAUGUUAGCGGGUAAACUUUUAAUUAUGGAAAAAACAGCAACAGCCGAAGAUUGUGUGUUCACAUUCAGCCCAGGCUUCAUCUCUUCCUUGGCGUUCCCUGCAAGUGCGUUCGUUCAUUUGCAUGAUAAUAAAAGGCGCCGUGAAAUCAAA